GAGUAAGAAUACGAGAACUGCUAAUUCACGUCCCCAUGUAUAAUCACAUGGCUUUCUCA
rnacentral:tRNA from 1 species